UACGUAGGGGGCGAGCGUUGUCCGGAUUUAUUGGGCGUAAAGAGCUCGUAGGCGGUUGGACAAGUCGGGUGUGAAAACUCUGGGCUCAACCCGGAGACGCCACUCGAUACUGUCCUGACUAGAGUCCGGUAGGGGAGUGUGGAAUUCCCGGUGUAGCGGUGAAAUGCGCAGAUAUCGGGAGGAACACCAGUGGCGAAGGCGGCACUCUGGGCCGGAACUGACGCUGAGGAGCGAAAGCGUGGGGAGCAAACAGG
rnacentral:rRNA from 1 species